CCUACGUGGGGCUGCAGUGGGGAAUAUUGGACAAUGGGCGAAAGCCUGAUCCAGCCAUGCCGCGUGUGUGAAGAAGGCCUUCGGGUUGUAAAGCACUUUCAGUGGGGAAGAAAGCCUUGGGGCUAAUACCCUCGAGGAAGGACAUCACCCACAGAAGAAGCACCGGCUAACUCCGUGCCAGCAGCCGCGGUAAUACGGAGGGUGCGAGCGUUAAUCGGAAUUACUGGGCGUAAAGCGCGCGUAGGCGGUCUGAUAAGCCGGUUGUGAAAGCCCCGGGCUCAACCUGGGAACGGCAUCCGGAACUGUCAGGCUAGAGUGCAGGAGAGGAAGGUAGAAUUCCCGGUGUAGCGGUGAAAUGCGUAGAGAUCGGGAGGAAUACCAGUGGCGAAGGCGGCCUUCUGGACUGACACUGACGCUGAGGUGCGAAAGCGUGGGUAGCAAACAGGAUUAGAUACCCCUGUAGUC
rnacentral:rRNA from 1 species